GGAUGGGCUCGCGGCCUAUCAGUUUGUUGGUGGGGUAAUGGCCUACCAAGGCGACGACGGGUAGCCGGCCUGAGAGGGCGACCGGCCACACUGGGACUGAGACACGGCCCAGACUCCUACGGGAGGCUGCAGUGGGGAAUAUUGCGCAAUGGACGAAAGUCUGACGCAGCAACGCCGCGUGAGGGAUGAAGUACGUCGAGAUGUAAACCUCUUUCAGCAGGGACGAAGCGAAAGUGACGGUACCUGCAGAAGAAGGACCGGCUAACUACGUGCCAGCAGCCGCGGUAAUACGUAGGGUCCGGACAUUGUCCGGAUUUAUUGGGCGUAAAGGGCUCGUAGGCGGUUUGUCGCGUCGGCUGUGAAAACCCAUGGCUCAACCGUGGGCUUGCAGCCGAUACGGGCAGGCUAGAGUUCGGUAGGGGAGACUGGAAUUCCUGGUGUAGCGGUGAAAUGCGCAGAUAUCAGGAGGAACACCGGUGGCGAAGGCGGGUCUCUGGGCCGAUACUGACGCUGAGGAGCGAAAGCGUGGGGAGCGAACAGGAUUAGAUACCCUGGUAGUCCACGCUGUAAACGUUGGGCGCUAGGUGUGGGGAACUUUCCACGUUCUCCGUGCCGCAGCUAACGCAUUAAGCGCCCCGCCUGGGGAGUACGGCCGCAAGGCUAAAACUCAAAGGAAUUGACGGGGGGCCCGCACAAGCGGCGGAGCAUGCGGUUUAAUUCGAUGCAACGCGAAGAACCUUACCAAGGCUUGACAUAUAGGGAAAUCCGGCAGAGAUGUCGGGUCCGCAAGGGUCCUAUACAGGUGGUGCAUGGCUGUCGUCAGCUCGUGUCGUGAGAUGUUGGGUUAAGUCCCGCAACGAGCGCAACCCUUGUCCUAUGUUGCCAGCGGAUCGUCCGGGGACUCAUGGGAGACUGCCGGGGUCAACUCGGAGGAAGGUGGGGAUGACGUCAAGUCAUCAUGCCCCUUAUGUCCAGGGCUUCACGCAUGCUACAAUGGCCGGUACAAAGGGCUGCGAUACCGCAAGGUGGAGCGAAUCCCAAAAAGCCGGUCUCAGUUCGGAUCGGGGUCUGCAACUCGACCCCGUGAAGUCGGAGUCGCUAGUAAUCGCAGAUCAGCAACGCUGCGGUGAAUACGUUCCCGGGCCUUGUACACACCGCCCGUCACGUCACGAAAGUCGGCAACACCCGAAGCCGGUGGCCUAACCCGUAAGGGAGGGAGCCGUCGAAGGUGGGGCUGG
rnacentral:rRNA from 1 species